UGUCAAAGCAGCGCAGAAUGGGACAGCUCUUUGCCAAGCCAUGCCCGGAGGGGAAGCUUCUGAAAACAGUCUGACAUUUUCAGCAGGGGACCGUGAGUUAAUGCUAAAUGAUACAAUGCUUGAAGUGAUCAUGAACAUUAAAGAGAAGGACGUCUUACCAAUACCUGUUCCAAUCAGGUUGGCUUCUACUUGCAUCGUGCAACCUCUAGAGCAGGUAAACUUGAGCAUCAAAUAAAAAAAGAAAUAAUGAUAAAUGUUACAAGAUGGCAGGUCUACCCCAGCUGUCAGGUCUGUGGUUUUUUAAAUUCAUUUUCUCCAUAAACUUUCUCCCUCCAUUUUAUUGCCUCUCUAUUUUCUCAUGCUACUAAAUGCACUGAUUUAUACUGCAUCACAGUUUUAUAUUAGACUGUAGUUUUAAAUUGCUUUGCACUACUUGGCUUGGGCACUAGAAAGGAAGGAUAUAUAUCUCCUAUGAUCCUGUGAUAUAGGGCAGGCUAUAAACACUUUAAACAAAGGAAUAAAUAAAUAAAUAAAUUAUAUUUAAAUAAAAUAGAUGACCAUGACAUUACAAGAGCCAUAGAGGGUCCAUUCGGGUUCCAAUUCCCUCUAAGACAUGGAAAUUAAUAAAGUAUAAUUACAUUGAUUUGACCCAGAGCUUGUUUUCCUUAUCACUUAAUAAUGCAGAAUCCCUGGCCAUUUUUCAUUAGCAAUCUGGCCGAAGCUGAUAAACUGGCGCGAUGGAACAAGAUAAGUUUGAUAGGGUGAUCAGGGAUGGCACUUGGGAUUUCUUGGACCCCAGACAUCUCAUUCUGGGAGUUCUAACUAACAGGAACUUUGUGGCUCACCUUGGGGAAAGGCCUCUGAUGGAGGACUCUGAGGACAAGCUAGGCUGAGCUCCAUCUAGAUUCCUAUUCAGAAAGAAAGUCGCCAGCUUGAAACAGGAAGCUUGAGCGGAACUAGGCCUAGCUCGGCCUCAAAAGCUUCCAGUUAAGGCCUUUCCUCAAGGUGAGCCACAUUUAGGUGGCUGUCAGUUUUUUUGUUAGUUCCAGAAUGGAGGAUUAUGGGGCCUGUGAAAUCUCAAAUCCUGUUCUUAAUCAUCAUAUCAAACUUCUCUUGUGCCAUCACACCAUUGGGUGUCUUUCAGGUGCACCUCCCAGAAUGGGGAAACAUGGAAUGAGUACCAAAACAUGGCAUCCCUUAUGGUGCAGUUGUGAUAUCACUUCAAAAGGAUCAGCCAGCUUCAUGGAGGAGGAGGAGGAGGAGGGCGGUCUCAAGAGCAGGGAGCCGCGAUCCCAGACUGACAGCUCCAUACGAGAGAGAGAGACUGCACACCUCCAGCGAUGAGAUGCUAAGGACCAAAGACCUAAAGAGAGAGUCCCGUCUUGCCAUAGAGAUGUUCAGAAAGAAUGCCUGCAAACGGAGAUUUCCUCAAACAUGUGGAAAUAUUUACAGAAAGAUCUGGGAGAGACUGAGCAUCGUUAUCAUGCUCAGGAAUUACGAGUAUUCUAAACAUUGGUGAUGUUUCUAAGGAACCUCAGUUUAUAAUUUGCAAAGGUGAACAUUAACCAUGAAAUAUAUCACAAAUACUUAGAAGGGAGAAAUCAUUCCAGAUAUACAGUAUAUACGUAUUUUAGGUUUCCCCUAAUUUUUUGAGGUCUAAAAUAAUUUACAGAAUAGAAUGAUAGCCGCCAGGUAAUCAUGAUUAGAUUUUGUUCUGAUUUAUGGCGUUUAGCAGUCUUUGUUCAGAAAUAGGGAUCUAGAUUAGAUUAGAUUCUGGAAAGGACAAUAAUGGUAGGAAAAGUUGAAGGCAGCAGGAAAAGAGGAGGGAUGGCUAUGAAAAGGACUGAGCCCAUCAAGGAAGCCACAACCUUGAGUCUGCAAGAGUUGAGUAGGGCUGUUGAGGAGCAGACCUUCUGAAGGCCACUCAGGUAUAAGACCGCCAUGAAUCAGAGGCAACUCAAUCAUACACAACGACAACAUUAUUUAUUGUGUACUGCCCACUGCCACAAAAUUCUCCCAUACUGGUUGGGCACCAGCCACAGCCACCCCUCAGCAGUCCUGGGAAGGGUAUCUCUGGCUAGCCACUAUCUGGUGUUGGCCAAGGUCAUCCAAUGGCCCUCCUUAGACCACUGGGGACAGCCCGAUGGUGCUGAGCUCCAUGCUAUGUAUUCUUCUCUGCUUGACUCCCAAAACAUCUUCUUCUGUCAACCUUUCCUUCCUCCUUCUUUAAUUUUUUGCAUUCUCCACAUUGACACCAGUGGAGAAUGCAAAUCAGUGGUGGGGAUGAGGGGAGAUCAGCAGGCUGGAAUAAUAUAUCUAUGCCAGCCUGUCACCACUGAUUAUGGUGUUGACGUGGUGAAUGUAUAUACAAUAUAGAACCGUGGGAAAGGCAGGGACACAGAGAGAGAGAAACAAGGGUUUGGUAUGUGAGCAUUCACGGCAGUCCUCGGGGCAUGUGCUGAAGUGACCCAGGCAGAAAAAUUAGGUUCUCAUUGCCAAGAAUAUAAUGGGAUUAAUGGAGGUCUGUGAUACAUGCCUUUAAUUUGCACACGAGUAAACCCAGCCCUAUCCAGUUUUACAAUUCUCUAAGCACCCGCCUCCCCUUGUAAUUCAAUGGACAGGGAAUCCCAAGACACCCUCAACACAGGAAUGCUGGACAUAUCGAUGGUGAUUACAUGUGGAUCUAUCUUUAAGUAUUUAUAAACCUUUUAAGAAGCUUA